rnacentral:antisense_RNA from 1 species
UUUUAGUUAGAAAUUACAGGUUUAUUUUUAUAUUUUGAAAAAGGCAUAAUAAAAAACAAAAACAACCAGGCAUAUCAAUAUUUGUGACAUACACAUACACACAAAAAUGAAUACAGGAAAUAAUAUGAAGAAAAAGCAUAGUAUGUUUUGAAACCAACGUGGGGUAUGAACAGAUUUUUGAUGAAAUACAACUAAAGGCUUUAAGUGUCGAUGUAAUGUUCGAGAUAUUACGAUCACUCUUAUCCUACUAGCAAAAAUUAGCAAAGUAGGCUUUAAAACAUGAUUCCUGUUGUUUUAGCAGGAUUUAUUUUGGUAAUGAUCCUGCUUCCUUAUAAACAACUACUUUACUUAUCAUUGUUGAAGUCUUCUUGUGUUAAGGAGUGCAAUGAGGCCAGGCAUGGUGGCUAACACCCGUACUCCCAGCACUUUGGGAGGUGUGAGCCACCACACCAGACCAUAAACACACAUUUUUAAAAAAAGACAGAGAAUUUCCCGCCUGAGAAAUGGUUAAUUCACUUGUUAAUAAAUUGUCAUGGCUAUUUUUU